rnacentral:tRNA from 1 species
UGGCUUAGAUGGUAAAGAAUCUGCCUGCAAUGCAGGAGACCCAGGUUCGAUCCCUGG